CGCCCUCCGAGGCCGACGCGGCCGGCGAGCGCCCCCCGAAGCCCCGCGGGAGGUGGCGGGACCAUCCAUCCCAGCGAACGGGGAUGGCGGGGCACAGACCCUGAGGCGGGAGUGCGGGGCCUGGGGCUCUUCUUGGGGUACCCUCGUGUCCCAGCUGGCAGCUUCGUGAGGACCGUGUGGGCUCGAGGGAUGUGUAGGGGAGGCAAGGUCAUGGAAGGACGGAGGUAGAGGAGGCUGCGUGAGGGGCCGGUGGUGAGGGUGUCCACGGCCACGGGAGGGAAGACCAUCCAGAUGGCGCUAGGAACCAUCGGGACCCACGCUGAGGCCUCGUCCCGGCACAGGAGCCUCGGGAAGUGACCCUGGAAAAGGUGGAGGGCGGCAGUGUUGGCACCCGACCCCGAUGGUCCGCCUCCGGGCUUCUCACACCAGCCUGUGGGCUCCUGAGGGAGAACAGUUCCUGGAAGAUUCAGAUGAGAUCCCACACUCGCCCUGGCGUCAUGCGUCAUGGCUGCGUAGAACCUGAGUAAACUUGGGCCCCGUUACAGACCAGGCAGUGCUCCUGCGACGAGGGGACCCAGCGGGAGGCUGCGUUCCAGCCCGGCCUGGAGGGACCCGGGGACCCUGCAGGCCGGGCUGAUGGCCAGGCCUUACCUGGCUUUCCCCAUGUGCUCCCAGCUUCGGUGCGGCCCGGACGUGCGGCCGCCGGGGAGAGAAGAGCCCCCGCCUGCGUCGGGAUGGCCCUCGCUGUGCCUCCUCCUCUGGAGUGGCUGGUGACGCCGUGUGCACAUCCACAUCUCAGCCCUGCCACUUCCCACCUGGGACCCUGGCGACUGAUGUCGGCUCCCCAAGCCUCAUUUCCUAGCCUGCAAACUCAUGACAUUCCCCCCCGGACACGGGGGCUGGGAGGGUGGCAUGGCUGAUGUGGGUAAAGGACCAGGGUCUGGCAUACAGAUGACCAGCUUUGUUA